GACGAACGCUGGCGGCGUGCUUAACAUAUGCAAGUCGAACGGAAAGGCCCUGCUUGCAGGGUGCUCGAGUGGCGAACGGGUGAGUAACACGUGGGUGAUCUGCCCCUUACUUUGGGAUAAGCCUGGGAAACUGGGUCUAAUACUGGAUAGGACCAUGCUGUAGGUGGUGUGGUGGAAAGAUUAGUUUCGGUAAGGGAUGAGCUCGCGGCCUAUCAGCUUGUUGGUGGGGUAAUGGCCUACCAAGGCGUCGACGGGUAGCCGGCCUGAGAGGGUGGACGGCCACAUUGGGACUGAGAUACGGCCCAGACUCCUACGGGAGGCAGCAGUGGGGAAUAUUGCACAAUGGGCGCAAGCCUGAUGCAGCGACGCCGCGUGGGGGAUGACGGCCUUCGGGUUGUAAACUCCUUUCAGCCAUGACGAAGCCCUUGUGGUGACGGUAGUGGUAGAAGAAGCACCGGCUAACUACGUG
rnacentral:rRNA from 1 species